GUGUAUUCAUCUACACUCAUCUCCUCGGUCUGCCUCAACUGCUCAAAUUCUAUCACUUUCAGCUCCCUGGAACUGUCAGAAAAAGCCCACCUUGCAAACUCAUUGGCGAACUCUCCCCAUGACAUGCUGGCCAACCUGGGGUCCACAUACUUCUUGAACCACUCUCGAGCUUUCUUACAUUUGAGUGUGAACCCUGCCAUCUCAA
rnacentral:lncRNA from 1 species